UACGGGGGGGGCAAGCGUUGUUCGGAAUUACUGGGCGUAAAGGGCGCGUAGGCGGCCUUCUAAGUCAGACGUGAAAUCCCUCGGCUCAACCGAGGAACUGCGUCUGAUACUGGAAGGCUUAAAUCCGGGAGAGGGAUGUGGAAUUCCAGGUGUAGCGGUGAAAUGCGUAGAUAUCUGGAGGAACACCGGUGGCGAAGGCGGCAUCCUGGACCGGUAUUGACGCUGAGGCGCGAAAGCUAGGGGAGCAAACGGG
rnacentral:rRNA from 1 species